GACGAACGCUGGCGGCGUGCUUAACACAUGCAAGUCGAACGGUGAAGCGCCUUCCUUUUUGGUGGGUGUGGAUGAGUGGCGAACGGGUGAGUAACACGUGAGUAACCUGCCCCCUUCUUCUGGAUAACCGCAUGAAAGUGUGGCUAAUACGGGAUAUUCUGGGUCUGUCGCAUGAUGGGUCUGGGAAAGAUAUUGUUUCGGUGGGGGAUGGGCUCGCGGCCUAUCAGCUUGUUGGUGGGGUGAUGGCCUACCAAGGCGGUGACGGGUAGCCGGCCUGAGAGGGUGGACGGUCACACUGGGACUGAGACACGGCCCAGACUCCUACGGGAGGCAGCGGUGGGGAAUAGUGCACAAUGGGCGGAAGCCUGAUGCAGCGACGCCGCGUGAGGGAUGGAGGCCUUCGGGUUGUGAACCUCUUUCGCCAGUGAAGCAGGCCUGCCUCGUUUGUGGGUGGGUUGACGGUAGCUGGAUAAGAAGCGCCGGCUAACUACGUG
rnacentral:rRNA from 1 species